AUUCCCCCAGAUCUUCACUGACUGUGACUCCAGACAGUCCUGUAUUCACUGGAGAGACAGUCAAUCUGACGUGUGUGAUUGAGUCUCACAGUAACUGGAGAUAUGAGUGGUAUAAAGACACAGACAGUGUAAUGUUACAGACGUCUGAUCGUCACACUGUAAACAGAGACACUCUCACUAUCAGAGGAGUAAUUACAUCUGAUCAGGGUCAGUACUGGUGUAGAGGACAGAGAGAUCAGAGACCAAACUCAUCACAGGACAGUAACCAAAUACAUCUGUCUGUUAAUGGUUCAGGUCAGAUUUCUGUCUUCAGCAUCCUCAGUUUUCUUCUGGCAGCUUGUCCGUAUCUGCUGUCGACAGUCGUGCUGCUGUUCAAAUGUUACAGAGCGAGAGUUACAUCUACUGAAGACCAAAGCCAGUACGCUGUAACAGAAGAACAAACUUCAAUCUGAUUUCAUCCAUUCUUCAAACCGCGUGCAGAGUCUCAGGAUGCAGGAGUCUCAGACUGAAGGAAACACACAAGACUAACACACACACAUUCACACUCUCACACACGCAGACAAUAAGUGUUUCUGAUUCUCCUGGGCAGGGGCGUAGAUUAUUCACUGCUUUUAAUAUCAUGGAAACUCGUCCCCCGCACUUUUUCGGUCAAGUUUGUUCUCAUAGAGGUUUUCAAAAGUUGGUGAGAUUGUGUGAAUAAAUAUAGAUUUAAACUCAAAGAGACGGGAUAGUCUGCAUAUGAUUUGAGAUUUAAUUCGGACCCAGAAUACAGCGAGAUGAAUAUUACAGAGCGCAAACACUCCUGUAGUGUGCUUUUCAUUAAAUUCAUCCUCGAAGCCGGAGGGCGCUCUCGCGCAGAAAGUCAUUUCAGGAAGAUCCUAAUAUGGGCAAAAGCGUCCAGCUAUCGCUGUGUGAAAACAGUUUUUAUACAGAAAAAAAGCCCAGAAACUUUUGCAAACACUAAGACAUUAAGCAUAUGAUUGCAACAAUAUAUGGAUUUUCAAGUAAUCUCCAGCAGGUGAUAAAUAAAGAAUGACCAAUUUAGUACCUAUUGAC